rnacentral:rRNA from 1 species
UACGUAGGGUGCGAGCGUUAAUCGGAAUUACUGGGCGUAAAGCGUGCGUAGGCGGUUUUGUAAGUCAGAUGUGAAAGCCCCGGGCUUAACCUGGGAAUGGCAUUUGGGACUGCAAGGCUUGAGUGCGGCAGAGGAGACUGGAAUUCCUGGUGUAGCAGUGAAAUGCGUAGAUAUCAGGAGGAAUACCGAUGGCGAAGGCAGGUCUCUGGGCUGACACUGACGCUCAUGCACGAAAGCGUGGGGAGCAAACAGG